rnacentral:rRNA from 1 species
AUUAGAGUUUGAUCCUGGCUCAGGACGAACGCUGGCGGCGUGCCUAAUACAUGCAAGUCGAGCGGACAGAAGGGAGCUUGCUCCCGGAUGUUAGCGGCGGACGGGUGAGUAACACGUGGGUAACCUGCCUGUAAGACUGGGAUAACUCCGGGAAACCGGAGCUAAUACCGGAUAGUUCCUUGAACCGCAUGGUUCAAGGAUGAAAGACGGUUUCGGCUGUCACUUACAGAUGGACCCGCGGCGCAUUAGCUAGUUGGUGAGGUAACGGCUCACCAAGGCGACGAUGCGUAGCCGACCUGAGAGGGUGAUCGGCCACACUGGGACUGAGACACGGCCCAGACUCCUACGGGAGGCAGCAGUAGGGAAUCUUCCGCAAUGGACGAAAGUCUGACGGAGCAACGCCGCGUGAGUGAUGAAGGUUUUCGGAUCGUAAAGCUCUGUUGUUAGGGAAGAACAAGUGCAAGAGUAACUGCUUGCACCUUGACGGUACCUAACCAGAAAGCCACGGCUAACUACGUGCCAGCAGCCGCGGUAAUACGUAGGUGGCAAGCGUUGUCCGGAAUUAUUGGGCGUAAAGGGCUCGCAGGCGGUUUCUUAAGUCUGAUGUGAAAGCCCCCGGCUCAACCGGGGAGGGUCAUUGGAAACUGGGAAACUUGAGUGCAGAAGAGGAGAGUGGAAUUCCACGUGUAGCGGUGAAAUGCGUAGAGAUGUGGAGGAACACCAGUGGCGAAGGCGACUCUCUGGUCUGUAACUGACGCUGAGGAGCGAAAGCGUGGGGAGCGAACAGGAUUAGAUACCCUGGUAGUCCACGCCGUAAACGAUGAGUGCUAAGUGUUAGGGGGUUUCCGCCCCUUAGUGCUGCAGCUAACGCAUUAAGCACUCCGCCUGGGGAGUACGGUCGCAAGACUGAAACUCAAAGGAAUUGACGGGGGCCCGCACAAGCGGUGGAGCAUGUGGUUUAAUUCGAGGCAACGCGAAGAACCUUACCAGGUCUUGACAUCCUCUGACAACCCUAGAGAUAGGGCUUUCCCUUCGGGGACAGAGUGACAGGUGGUGCAUGGUUGUCGUCAGCUCGUGUCGUGAGAUGUUGGGUUAAGUCCCGCAACGAGCGCAACCCUUGAUCUUAGUUGCCAGCAUUCAGUUGGGCACUCUAAGGUGACUGCCGGUGACAAACCGGAGGAAGGUGGGGAUGACGUCAAAUCAUCAUGCCCCUUAUGACCUGGGCUACACACGUGCUACAAUGGACAGAACAAAGGGCUGCGAGACCGCAAGGUUUAGCCAAUCCCACAAAUCUGUUCUCAGUUCGGAUCGCAGUCUGCAACUCGACUGCGUGAAGCUGGAAUCGCUAGUAAUCGCGGAUCAGCAUGCCGCGGUGAAUACGUUCCCGGGCCUUGUACACACCGCCCGUCACACCACGAGAGUUUGCAACACCCGAAGUCGGUGAGGUAACCUUUAUGGAGCCAGCCGCCGAAGGUGGGGCAGAUGAUUGGGGUGAAGUCGUAACAAGGUAACCAAU